GGGUCUCCUUCCACACUGUGGAAGCUUUGUUCUUUCGCUCUUUGCGAUAAAUCUUGCUACUGCUCACUCUUUGGGCCCACGUUGCUUUUAUGAGCUGUAACAUUCACUGCGAAGAUCUGCAGCUUCACUCCUGAGCCCAGCAAGACCACGAGCCCACUGGGAGGAACGAACAACUCCAGACGCGCCACCUUAAGAGCUGUAACAUUCACCGCGAAGGUCUGCAGCUUCACUCCUGAGGCCAGCGAGACCACGAACCCACUGGAAGGAAAGAACAACUCUAGACGCCCUGCCUUUAAGAGCUGUAACACUCACCGCGAAGGUCUGCAGCUUCACUCCUGAAGUCAGUGAGACCACUAACCCCCCCCAGAAGGAAGAAACUCCGGACACAUCUGAACAUCUGAAGGAACAAACUCUGGACACAGCAUCUUUAAGAACUGUAACACUCACCAUGAGGGUCCGCAGCUUCAUUCUUGAAGUCAGCGAGACCAGGAACCCACCAAUUCUGGACACAAAAGGAAAGAUGAUGUCUGGGCCUUUGGUCAUCAUAUUAUGUUGUUAGACC
rnacentral:lncRNA from 1 species